CGGCUGCGGGGACGGGGCGGGGCGGGGCCCGGGCUGGGCGCGAGCGAGGGGCACCUGCAGACCCCAGCUCGCCGGGCGCCCCGCCUCGGAUUCACCGCUCGCUGCUCCAGCCGCCGGAAGCCGCUGCUCCUGCCUAGGAAAAAGAAGAGCCUCUGAAGGAGGGAUCGCUGCUUCACAUCCGAUCUGUCAGUGCCCUGUUAUGUUAUUUUAGUACAGAAGAGGAAGCUCCCAGCUCCGGACCACAGUGAAUGAACCCACGCAGGGCGAAAGGAGAAUUUAUUCCAGGCGGUAGCUGGUGGCGAGGGCAAGGUGCAAGGGGCGGAGCCAGCCAAGCCCGGGACAGCCGGCCGGAGCUCCUCCCCAGCACCUUUACAAAGGAGGGAGCCCGCAGGCCCGGAGGGUGGGCCCCCUGUUGGGGGGAGGGGAAGUCUGUCCUCCCGGUCUCGCUCCAUCGCCCUGGGAUAUGUGUCCUGCUCUCUUCCAUUGUUCAUUUCUUCUGCCAUGUUGACCUUGAUAUGGAAUGGAAGAUGCUUAUUUGAAUUUUGAAAUAAGAUCCCCACUCCCGUUUUAAUCUUCCCACUACCGGAAACAGCUGAGAUGGUGGUGGCUUUUUUUUCCUCUCCAUAUAAAUCAUAUCAGCCGAUGAGUUAAGUUAUAAUAAGAAGAAACACUAGUAUUUUAAAAAUAUUUUCAGAUAACUAGAAAAAUUACCCCAAACUUAGAAAUAAGAAGAAGGAGCAUGACUUUCAGGGUCGCAGUGAAACAUUGUUUAACAGGUCCACUCAGCGGUGAGUUAAUUCUCUAGAAAGCAUGCUUGUGUUUGUCUGGGCUGCUUAUUAUUGAUUCUGACACAGACGUGGCAGCAUUACACGUUAAACUUGCACAUUUUACUCAGUCUAGCCAACAGAAAACAUGUCACCGUUUAAGAUUUUCUUGCACUGUAGGGUGUUAACCAAUUUUGCAUCUCACUCAACUAACAUUCUUUCUGAUGUCUGUAAAUACUGAAAUCCCCAAGUGUUCUUCCAACCAUCUAAACCAUGUUUGCAGUUUCCUCUCAUUAGUAAAUGAAUAGAUCUCUGACGUUUGUAUGUAUUCAUAUGAGAGUCUUGCUUUUAACUUUUAAAAGUUAUACUUUGAAAAACCAAAAUUGAAUUUUCAAAAAAAAUUGAUUUUGUUAAAGUUCUUUACAACCAUAAAGAUAAAAGCCUGACCUCAUCUUGGACUUGAAUUCUGUGGAGCAAAUAAGCUUGAAAAUACUAAUCCCCUGAAUGUUUAUGUAUAAUAUUGUAUGUAUAUGUUCUUAAGCCUCCUGUCUCCACGAGCUAGUUUUGAGAAUGACAGACCCUCUUCAUUGUAUUUAUCACAAAUUGAGGUCUGUUCUUUCUGUUUAUAAAGACUUACAAGGCAAAUCUAUAUUCAGUCUGCUUGGUACCAUAGAUUCAAUGCUUGUCAGUUUACAGAAAGCCCUUCUACUCAUUGGCUAUGGUACUGUCCUCAAACAUUCCAAUGCAGAGGCAGAUCAUACUUCUUUUCUGUAAAAUGACCUAUCCCAGUGACUCAUUUGAAAUGGAAAAGUACAUUUCUUUCAACUUUGAAACAGGACUCAUUCGAGUAUAUGGAAUAAUGUGGCCUUUUUGGGAAAAAAAAAUGAAAUACUGAAUGUACUUAAUAACUGUAAGGAUUCAAUAACAUUCAUAGAAAAAAUUCUCAGCAACUCAUGAAUAGAAAGAACUAAAAUUAAGUUUCUGGAACUAGUCGUAUACAAUGAAAACGAUUGACAACAACAUGUUAUGGCUAAAACCCCAAAAUAUUCUACAAUAAAGCUCUGUCAUUUAGUAAUUUGUAGGAAAUCAUUUUAAUUUUUGUUGCUCAACCAAUUCUUAAACUUUUUUCAUAUUAAAUCAAGUUUUUAAAUCGCCUUUACAAAUAACUUGUCAAGUGGAUUUUUAAAAUUUUUUCGACUAUUCAAUUUGGAAUAAGACUAUAUUGUUGAACAUCAUAAAACAUACAGUUUUUUGGAAGCCCUUGACUUAACUAAAUGGAGCUUAAUAAGAGUUUUUUUAAAAAGCAGAAAAAUUAUUAUGUGAAUUUGUGAAGAGUUAAAAAAGAAAGAUGGCCAAGAAAAAAAAAUAGGUUAAAUGAACAAAAACAAUUUUUUGAAAGCAAACAUACUAUAAAUUCACAAUGCAUGUUGGGCAGCAAAGAAAAGUAUGCCAUCUAUUUUUAACUAAUGUUCCCCAAAUUCAUCAAAGACCAACAUAAUAUUUUGCUUAAAUAUAUCAUUUAACACAACGUGUAACUAAGAAUUUUGAGAAAACAGUUCUUGAGUAUACUAGAAAAAAAAAUAAUUGUUUAUUGAACAAAUGAUUGAAAGAAAAAAGUAAUGUUACAUGUUUAUCACUGUCUCAUUGUCAUGAAGAAGACACACAGGCCACAUUUCAAAGUUUUUAGUAUAAAUACAUAUUGUAUAAGUGUGCAAAAUAUUUAAUGCAUAUUAGAUGUACAUCUCUAUUUCCUGCAAGUAAGAUGUUAGAUGGAGAUGCUAGAUUUGAAUACUGUUAAUUCAAUUACAUUUUAAAAAUUUGAAUGUUUAGGGGCUGGGGAUUUAGCUCAGCGGCAUAAGUACCUGCCUUGCAAGCAGGCGGUCGUGAGUUCGAUCCCUGGUACCAAUAAAAAUGAAAAAGACAAAAAAAAAAAAAUUUGAAUGUUUUACUUUUCCUAAUGUUGCUCAUAAAACCAGCAUCUGAAUUUUAGAUUUAAUACUGAUACAGUCCUUAUUAUAACUGGAAAACUUUUAUUCUAAUGUGUUGAUUUAGCUCUAUGCAAAAUGUAGAACAGUAGAUCAGUGGUUGAGAAAAGAAUCUGCAAACUUGCUGAGAUUCCAGACUAACCUGUUACUGUUGUUGUCAACUUAAACAAUGACUCUGCCUCAAUAUUCUUGUAAAAUGGAGGUGAUAAUUACCUAUCUCAUAGAUUCUUACAAAGAUUAAAUGACCCUCCUAGAAACAAAACAGAAACAGUCAAUAACUAGUAGACUCUUAUUCUCAUUAGUAUUAUUAGUAGUAUUAUAACAAAAAUGAAGUUUGGAAGAUUGUAAAUAAAAGUACUGUGCUGACUGAGUACAUAGGCCAUAUUAUAUUUUCUUUUUGUUUCCUAUGAUGGUACAGUGUUUAUAGAGUCUUUUUGCCCCUCAUAUCCAUAAAAUUUAAAACUUUACGAAACGUGAAUGAACUGCUCUGGAUGGAAUGAGCUUAAUCCAGAGUGGUUUUGUGCUCACUUUAUGGCUCUUCCAUUAAAAAUGUUUGCAUAUCCCUGUAGGAACAGACAAUUCUGAGAAAUCACUUCCUGCAAGAUGUUGGGAUAAGGAGCCAGACCCUUCACAAUGACCGGAAACUGACAGAGGCCUGCUGCAAUGGUCUGCUGGACACAGUGACUUGUAGCUUCCUGCCAGUGCCCUUGGGAAUGGCCAGCCCUCCCUGAGAAGGAGAGGACACUUGCCUGAAAUGAUAAUUUUCUAUGGAAAAACAAACAUACAAAAACCCCUCUUCUUUGACUCUCUCUUCCCUAAUCCUCUUUUACUAGCCCCAGUAACUGCCACCAUCACAAAAGGGGCCUCAUUAUCUGACUGGUCAAUGUUUUAGGUGCUGAAGAGUCAAAAGUGCCCAAGGAAGAAAAUCUUUGAUGAGAAAAGUAUAUACUAGUGACAGGCUAUAUGUGGUAUUUGUCUCCCUUCACAUAUGCCUCCUUAGUUAAUGUUAAUAUAGAAUCCACCUUUGUCUGACAACAGCUGUUUAAUUCAUCUAUAGUAAAAUGCAGACAUGAUGUAAAGUGAAUACUCAGUGGAAUUUAAGUGUUUGCAAAAGAUUCAAGAUUUUAUGAAAUCAGUGGAAGUCACAUUCAAAAACAGCAACAAGUGAGAUAUUGAUAGUAGCAACCAAAGAAUAAAAUAUUUGACAAGGACGAUAAUGUUAUCAGAGAACUAAAACUGAUCUUUGGAAAAAUUUAUGAGAGCCUUAAUUUUGCAAAUGUUACAUUUUAAUAAUCAUGCCAUGAGUCUCAAAUGUGAGGUGAAGGUUAUUACUUGGAGGUAUAACAUUUUUCUUAAAAAUUAUAUAUAAUUGAAAUGGACAAAAUUUAUUCAUUGCUGUUUCUAAGAAUUAGCUCACUAUUUCAUUUAUAUCUAAUAUGUAAAAUAAGACUAUUUUUACAGUUUGUUUAGUGUUUUCCAGGGCUGUCAGCCUGUGCUGGCCUCAUCCUGGUGAUAACUGAGCUUAUUCCCAACCUUGGUGCCCACCUGCAGUUAUUAUAAGUGAGCUUUAUCCUGCCCAGGACCUUUUUAGGGAACACCAGGUUUAACACACGCAAAUAUGUUUCUUGAGAAGAACUUUCCAGAUCACUCUUUCUGAAUUAGUAUGCCCUGUCACUCUUUUCUGCUUUGUUUUCUUCAUUGGACCUAUCUCUGUCUUAUAUGUAAUACAUGUUCAGCUAUCUGUUUUAUAAUUGCUGCUCCCAAUGGGAAAAGUACUGCAGGGUCUUACCAAUUACUGUAUUCUCAGAAUUCAAAAAUAUAUCUAUCAUGGUAGCUACUUAAUGAAUGUUUACAGAAUAAAAUUAAGAAAUUAAUAUUUAGUUUCACAUUUUUAAGAUAAAGCUCCACAUAUCCUUUACUAUUUUUUUUCCUAUAACAAUGGAGUGCUAGCUUCUGAUAUUCAUGUCAAAUGGAAUUUUCCAAGACAAGGUGUCUUCAGUAAUAAGACUUUCCUGCAUCAGACAUUCCUUUCCUUGCUUUGCAGGGAUAACAUAUUUCAUACUAUUAUUCCAACUCAGCUGAUAGCGUGGGCUUUCCAGAACACUGAUUCUGUGGUGUGGUCUCAGCCCAGCCAGGAGAACAUUAGGAAAGAUGGCACAGUAGUGCGGGUUAUGAGAGCGAGUUUAUGGGUUUGGUAUCUCAGGUGUCAGUAUGGCACCUGUUAGAAUACAAAUUUCCUUAAGAAAAGCACAUUCCAUUUUUAACACCUGUUAGAGAUUGCAUUUACAUGUUCCACAAAGGCCUCAUGUAGUCAUAGGCAGGGCUUUUCCUAGGUGGCUGAAUCUAAAGUGUGUGAUGCUAUGAUUAAAGUGAUGCUGUGAUCAAAGGUAUGUGAUUCCUAAAUUCAUCCACUGAUCAAUUUGGCAUAAUUCUGGGAGUAGAUAAUGGAAAGCUCCUCCCUGGAUGAGAAUUAGUAGCCUGGAUAAAAUAUAAGGCACAGAACGAAGGCUCUUGUGUUCCCUUGUUGCUCAUGGGUUCACUACUUCCCUGCUUGUCACUUUCUUCUGCCUUCUGCCUGUCAUGAAUUGUUUCUUCCCUGCCAUGCCGCCUCGCCUUGGAGUCAGCCAACUGUGAACUGAAGUCUCUACCAACCUUGACAGAAAUAAACCUUUGCUCUUUUAACUUUGAAUAUUGAGUAUCUGGGCUCAGCAACAAGAGGGGUAUUUUGUCUCAGCAAUGAGAAAAGUGACUAGACAACACAUUAGCUUGAUGUAAUUUUCAAAUGCACAAAAUGUAUCUCUGCAGUUCAUGUGGUUUUAGGAAACACAGGAGCUACCUGGCCUAAUACAUUUUUCUAAUCCUUAAACUUCCAUGAUAAUCUCCGAUUGCUGCUUGAAGCCUUAAGAUCCAGAAAUCUGUAGCCCACAAAGCUCCUUUAUUGGCUCCUCCAGUUCCUGAGAAGAUUCCAGUCAAGUAUUCCUCUGCGUUUUGUUACUUAUACCAGUAGCCAAAUGACUAUCAGAAUUAUUCCAGUCCAUUUUCUCAUCUCCAAGUCAAAUAUGCCCAGUUCCUUCACUAGAUUCCCAAAUGACAUGACGUAGCUUUCCUUCUGCAUCUUGUGUAAUACUGGAAAAAGUACAGUCCUACUAUCCUAAUGUGCCACUCCUACCCUAGAGUUAUUACUCCAGGUGUCAUCUGGUCAGUGAAGAAUGAAAUGAGCUCUGUGCCUCCUCCUGCUCCAUAAAAUUAUGCUCUUCCACAUGGCCCAAGAACAUUGCUUGGUGUGCAUAGAUACAUUAUACUGCAGACCCAGCUGAUUGCGGUCAACUGACACACUGGAGCCACUCCUGAGAGCUGAGUUUGUUGAAUGUAGUACUGUACCACCUUUGUAUAAUUCCAGUAAAAUUCUAUACUAUUUAAUUUGACAUUUGGUACUUGUAUAUUCAGGCUUUCAGAUCUUUGAGAAUAUAUGUUUUAACAGCUAUAUUUUUCCCUUCCAGUUUGAUGUCAUCACUGCUCUGUGAAUACGGUCCUUCUGAAAAGUUAUAGCAUAAAAUAAACACACUUUUAACCAA